AUGCCAUUAUCUACUACCAUUAUAAAAGAAAGAGAUGGGCACAUCCAAACAAUCAGAUCCAUCCAUUUACAAGAUCUAAUGGCUCUUAAUCCUUUAAUGUUUAACCCUACAAGCCACGGAAUUAAGCCCCCGCUGCCCCUUCGUACAAAAAACUGCUCCGCACGCCGCACCACAACCUUCGCCCGCUCCUCCUGUAAACAAAACAAUGCCACGACCGCGGCCCGCUCCUCCAUUCCGCCCCCGCUCCACUCGCCCACCAUCGCCCGCUCCACUCGGCCUCCGCCGUCGCCGCCGCACAACUGGGCCUCCAUCGCCGCCGAUCCUCCGCUCGCUGCUCCACUCUACCGCCGUCCGUCGUCCGCCGGCUGA
rnacentral:rRNA from 1 species